rnacentral:rRNA from 1 species
UACAGAGGUCUCAAGCGUUGUUCGGAUUCAUUGGGCGUAAAGGGUGCGUAGGCGGCGGGGCAAGUCAGGUGUGAAAUCCCGGAGCUCAACUCCGGAACUGCACUUGAUACUGCCUUGCUAGAGUACUGGAGAGGAGACUGGAAUUUACGGUGUAGCAGUGAAAUGCGUAGAUAUCGUAAGGAAGACCAGUGGCGAAGGCGAGUCUCUGGACAGUUACUGACGCUGAGGCACGGAGGCCAGGGGAGCAAACGGG